rnacentral:rRNA from 1 species
GAUGAACGCUGGCGGCGUGCCUAAUACAUGCAAGUCGAGCGAACGGACGAGAAGCUUGCUCCCCUGAUGUUAGCGGCGGACGGGUGAGUAACACGUGGAUAACCUACCUAUAAGACUGGGAUAACUUCGGGAAACCGGAGCUAAUACCGGCUAAUAUUUUGAACCGCAUGGUUCAAAAGUGAAAGACGGUCUUGCUGUCACUUAUAGAUGGAUCCGCGCUGCAUUAGCUAGUUGGUAAGGUAACGGCUUACCAAGGCAACGAUGCAUAGCCGACCUGAGAGGGUGAUCGGCCACACUGGAACUGAGACACGGUCCAGACUCCUACGGGAGGCAGCAGUAGGGAAUCUUCCGCAAUGGGCGAAAGUCUGACGGAGCAACGCCGCGUGAGUGAUGAAGGUCUUCGGAUCGUAAAACUCUGUUAUUAGGGAAGAACAUAUGUGUAAGUAACUGUGCACAUCUUGACGGUACCUAAUCAGAAAGCCACGGCUAACUACGUG